UACGUAGGGACCAAGCGUCGUUCGGAUUUACUGGGCGUAAAGGGCGCGUAGGCGGCAAUUCAAGUCAUCUGUGAAAUCUCCGGGCUUAACUCGGAACGGUCAGAUGAUACUGCUUUGCUAGAGUGCGGAAGGGGCAAUCGGAAUUCUCGGUGUAGCGGUGAAAUGCGUAGAUAUCGAGAGGAACACCUGAGGUGAAGACGGGUUGCUGGGCCGACACUGACGCUGAGUACGCGAAAGCCAGGGGAGCAAACGGG
rnacentral:rRNA from 1 species